rnacentral:rRNA from 1 species
UACAGAGGUCUCAAGCGUUGUUCGGAUUCAUUGGGCGUAAAGGGUGCGUAAGUGGUGCUGUAAGUCAGGUGUGAAAUCUCGGGGCUCAACCCCGAAACUGCACUUGAUACUGCAGUGCUCGAGGACUGGAGAGGAGAUUGGAAUUCAUGGUGUAGCAGUGAAAUGCGUAGAUAUCAUGAGGAAGACCAGUGGCGAAGGCGGAUCUCUGGACAGUUCCUGACACUGAGGCACGAAGGCCAGGGGAGCAAACGGG